GGUGAACGCUGGCGGUCGGCCUAACACAUGCAAGUCGAACGGCAGCACAGUAAGAGCUUGCUCUUACGGGUGGCGAGUGGCGGGCGGGUGAGGAAUACAUCGGAAUCUUCUUUUUCGUGGGGCAUCACGUAGGGCAACCUACGCUCAUACCGCAUACCCCCUACGGGUGAAAGCAGGGGAUCUUCGGCCCUUGCGCGAUUGAAUGAGCCGAUGUCGGAUUAGCUAGUUGGCGGGGUAAAGGCCUACCAAGGCGACGAUACGUAGCUGGCCUGAGAGGAUGAUCAGCCACACUGGAACUGAGACACGGUCCAGACUCCUACGGGAGGCAGCAGUGGGGAAUAUUGGACAAUGGGCGCAAGCCUGAUCCAGCCAUACCGCGUGGGUGAAGAAGGCCUUCGGGUUGUAAAGCCCUUUUGUUGGGAAAGAAAAGCAGCAGGUUAAUACCCCGCUGUUCUGACGGUACCCAAAGAAUAAGCACCGGCUAACUUCGUG
rnacentral:rRNA from 1 species